UUCUGUUACCAAGUACUUAAGUAUUCUUAAAUAUUUUGAAGCACUUUACGUAACUGUACGUAAGUACUUUUAUGUAUUCUGUACUUUAGUGCUUGUAUUUAAGUACUGUUGAAGGUACCUAAAUCAUAAGUAACUUUAAAAAAAAAAAAUUCUGCAAGUACUUUUUCAAGCUCUCCUGGAUUCUGGUUCGUCCCCAGAAACCACUGGGUUGGGCACUUUAGGCCCUCAGUUCCAGCUGCCAUGGGCUUUUUUCUGUUGUUCCUGCUGUUCCAGCAGCCAGGGAGGGUGGUGGCUCUGCCCUCUUCAUUUCUGAUGGGUCACGACAGGUCCAGCCUAUUGGAGAGAUGCGUCAGUACAGGGAAGGGGGCAGAGCAGGCAGGCACAUACCUCUCAGUGUCCUGCAUUGAGAAGACAAGCCCAGUAGCUGCAUACCCUGCAGGAUAGGAUAAGAAAUGCCUACCAGGCACUGGGCAUGCUCCAGUGCUGAAGGGGCUAUUGGAAAAUUGGGGCCUAAGGAAUUGUUUUGUCAACUUCCACCUGGCGCCACCACUGCCAGUCAUUGUAUCAUUGAUUAUACUUCCUGAUUCAUUUCCUGUUGAAUUGUAAAUAUUCUUAGUCUUCUUUAAUCUGGAAAUAUCUCUUCAGUCACUAAUGGCGUCUGAAAAUAAAGUGUUGCCGAUUGUAGUGAGAACUUACUUCUCAGAUGUUGUUGAAGAUGAUGGGAACUUUAUUGAAGCAGUUUGUAGUUUGUACAAACCGAAAAGAAAGACAAUUCACAGACAACAGAAGGCAUUCUCAGAUUUCACCAAACAUGCAGAGAAGUCAUGAAGAAAAGGACUUUGGAUGCAAGCAAACUAUUGAUGACUUGCUCACAGCAUCUGAGGAAACCCCAAAGUGAAAGGCCCCCUGUCUGAUGGAGCAGUGUCCAAAGAAAAAAUAGACAAGAUAAUUCUCAGUUUUAUUAGUGAUAUGCUGACUCUGUCAACUGUUGAGGGGUGUGGCUUUCACACUUUAUUUACUGGAAUUAUUCCCAAAGCUGCUGUCAUGUGAACUGAAAAAAUAAAGAUUAAACUACUGGGAUAAUACAACUUGGUUCUUGAAAGCAUAAAAAACAAAUUGGCAUCUCUACAUUAUGUUUGCACAACUGGAGAUGUGUGGACCCUUCAGGCGAGAAGCUACAUGGGUAUUACCUGUCACUGGAUUGAUUACUAAUCCAACAAGAGUCUGCCGUUUUAAGCUUCCAACACUUUAUUGGAAUACAUUGAUAACAAUAAGAUCACUUCUCUUUUGACUCAGAUCCGCUCACCGUUUGAUCUGGACUCAGUAAAAAUAACACUUGGCAAAGACAGUGUUAGCAGUUUUGUUAAAGCCUUCAAGCUGUUUUCAGGGCCUGGAGUGUUGGAGGAUGAUGCUGAUAAGAAAGUGGAGGAGGAUGCUAGUGAACAAGUGGACACCCUGCGUUGUGAUAGAAGUAGCCAUGUGAGUAUGGAUGAAGUUUUGACAAGCGAUACUGCUGACUGUUCACGUAUUUUUUACCACCACAUAUUUUGCCACUACGUAUGACUGUUUUUGAUACACUCUGAACUUGGUAGCAACUACUGAUGCUUCUAGGGCUCUUGUCAAGAACUCUCAUCACAAGCAUCUCUUCAGAAAUGUAGUGGGUAAGUGCUCUAUCUUAAGCAACACUGCAUACUAGAGUUCAAAGAAUUCUGAGAUUGUGAAUGACACACUUGGAAAAACAAUCCGCAAACUUACCUCUACACAAUAGAAUUCAGAGUUCAAUAGCUUUCACCAUAUUUACAAUAUGCCUGAUGGAGAAUUUUGGCAGUGGGAGACACUCUAACACAGCUGGAAUUUCUAGGUGACUUGUUGGAGGUGAUGUCUGCAGUUGCCACUGGACUUGACAGACUUAAGGGGAGGAGAACAUUAGUCUUUCUAUGGUGUGAUUCUGCCUACCACACUUGUGCUAAAAUCUAGACUUGACUCAUUUUUUCCAAAAUACAAUUCUUGCUUGGUAGAUAAUGUGAAGAAAGGCUAUAGAAAAGGUUUGGAUGUAUUUUGACAUUUGAUGCAGCUGUGAGUAACAAAAGUGCAAAGUCAUUUGUUGUUGUUUCUGUGCUACACCGAUUUUUUUAAAGUUGCGUUGGCUGCUGAAUCAGAUGGAGAGAAAAAUUUCAGAGGAAGUUCUUUUUACAUGAUAUGGUUUGUUGUGACAGCCUACCAAAGCCUACAGAUCAAGCGAUAACAUCCAAAGAUGCCACUAAUUUCUAAUGCUUUGAUGAUCGGGGGCAUCUGACUCCCACUUAAGAAUUGUUGGUAUGCAUCUCCUCAGUGAUCCAUCUCAUGAAUUUGAUCAACUGAAAAAAUAUCCAGUAGUUAUUAAACUUUUUAUUAAAUGUAAUACUACCCUGCCAGUCAUGCUCCAGUGGGAAGAUUAUUCAGUAGUGCUAGACAAAUCUUUUUGCCAAGAAGGAACUGUCUUCAGGAUGAUACGUUCAAGAGUCUACUAUUGUUGAAGAAAAUGACCAUUUCAUCGAAUGAGCUGCUGUUUGUACAUAAUAUAUAUAUAAAAAAAUGAUAUAAUGGAAAGGAAAUUUAUUUACGUUUUAAGUGAUUUUUUUCAUUGUUCCAUUCUCUUUUCUGUAUAUAAAUAAAGUUUGAUCGUUGUUCUUUUUCUUUCUCCAA